rnacentral:antisense_RNA from 1 species
UGAGUGAAGAAGGCUGGUGUGGCAUGCUCGGGACCUAGAGGGAACCUGCCUCAUUGACAGGGGACAGCAGCUGCACAGCUCCAGACAAUCAUUGUCAAGGACGGAAAUGAGAUUCUAACACGGCUGAUCUGAUUUUCCAAGAAAGGUGAAAGACCAAAAUUCAUGGAAGAGAAGUGAGUCACACAGGGAGCCAGUGGCAGAGCCACACCCCACAGAGCAAUCAGUGUGCUCUACUCUGCAGACCUGCAACAGAGAGGGAAGCCAGACUCAGAUGCAAGAAGGAAAGACCAUGUGUUGGCUCAGUGUGUGCAGCCUGGAGUGAGCUAUUGAACUCUAAAUCCAAGGAUGACUAAUAGGCAGAAUGACAUUAAAACCAGACCUGAUGAAGACAGCACAAAAAGGAAAUCUCAACACAACCUCACAAUAUUAAUAAAGCAAAAAUUUUAAAUACAGUAA